CGACCUCGGAUCAGGUAGGGAUACCCGCUGAACUUAAGCAUAUCAAUAAG
rnacentral:rRNA from 1 species